rnacentral:rRNA from 1 species
UACGGAGGGGGUUAGCGUUGUUCGGAAUUACUGGGCGUAAAGCGCGCGUAGGCGGACCAGAAAGUUGGGGGUGAAAUCCCGGGGCUCAACCCCGGAACGGCCUCCAAAACUCCUGGUCUUGGGUUCGAGAGAGGUGAGUGGAAUUCCGAGUGUAGAGGUGAAAUUCGUAGAUAUUCGGAGGAACACCAGUGGCGAAGGCGGCUCACUGGCUCGAUACUGACGCUGAGGUGCGAAAGUGUGGGGAGCAAACAGG